GUUGAAGGCAUUGUCGUCGAUAUAUUCGAGUUUGUUAUGGCUGACGUUUAAUACUCGUAAAUUAUACUCGUCUUUACAAAGGAAGAAGAACCUUUGAAGAUGAUUCUGCGACAGAUCCAAUAUUUCCAAAUUUGCAAGAUUAAUCUGUGACUGAAUCCUCAUGAAAAAGUCUUCUUUCUUCAAACCACGCUCGGACAGAUCCACCUACGAUGUGCAGAGAAAGAGAAAUAAGAUUUCAAAGAAACAUUAUUCCUGCAUGAAGUGAGGAGAAAAAUAAACGGAAAAUUUCGACAUUGUUCCUGCAUGUGUCAUUCGCGCCAAUUUUAAGAGAUGCGAGGAAACGAAUCUUGGCGCGUCGUUACGUCACAGUGGCCGCUCGUAAAAUCUGAUACAUUGUGCGACCAGCCGUGGCGUAUUCGUCAUGUCGAGACACACCGAGGACACGCGAUCGACGAAACGAAAGGAUUGACCCCGUGGAACGUCCGUGACCAACCAUCUUCUUUUUCUCUGCCAGGCACCUACGACUCCAGCGUUCCACGAAGUAUCGAUUUAUGGGCAACGAAACGUCACAUCGACGCGAUGAUUUCUCAUCGGCUAAAUUCAAACAACAUCGCAUCCAGCGCGUCUUUAAAGCGCUCAGUCGAUCCAUCGACAAUUUUUCACGCGAUUCCAAUCCACGAGGGAAGCGCGUCUGGCUGACGACGCGGAGGCGGCCCAUGCGAGCUGGCCCGCACAAAGGCGCAUCCUCGCGAGGAAAUUUAUCGCUACGGGACGACGUUUCCCGUGAAAAGCGUCGAAGAAAGAAGAUAGAAACGAGGCGAGGAGCACGGAGAACGCAGCAAUCUGGUGAAUAGGCGCGCCUUCCAGAAGCGUCGCGAAUCAAUUCCCGGAUUGACUCUGCACCAGGUUGCCGCGCCGAUUUUUCAGCUUUCUCCAGGCGGAAAACUCGCGCGUCUCGUAUCCAUAGCAUAUUUGCCUGGUUACUGAAUGGAAAAUGGAUCGACAAGAAUGCAAUAUCGGAACUCGCGAACAAUCGUUCGAUGUCAGGUAAUAGAGACGAUAUCGAUAUGCCAAGAAUUUUUGUUACCUUUGAUCGUUGAGUGAAGCCCUUCGUGUUUAAGGUAUUUAUUUGUUUAACCAUUAUUUGACGUGCUUGACUAUUUUUAUCGGUACUAUAGUGAUCGAUACUGGACUUGUCAUUGGCGAUUUGCAAGUUAAUUAAGGUAUUCGAAUUAAAGAAACGUUGAUGGAAAUUCAGUAAAUCUUUGAUACUUUUCAUAUUACUUUGAUCAAUCAUUUUGAUUUAAAGUGCCAGUUGCAUCUGUUAUAAAAUACUUGGCAAAAGUGUUCGUGUACUCUAUCUCAAUCAACAUAGAUCAUAUUUUAUUUUACAAAAAUACUCGAACAACUAAGAAGACAAAGUUUUGCCAAGUCUUAUUAUUUCAAAGUAUAUCUAGAUUACGUUAAUACCUUGACUGCCACGUUGGUCAUGUAUAACCGGUCAUGGUUUUUUCUGUAACGCCAGGGUGGUCAUUGGUGACCGAAGCGCUUGAACUUCUUACAAUUGUAAAAAUUGUAUGAAAAUUGACAAUUAGGCAAUUCUGAAUAUAACCGAUAAAUAGAAGAUACUUUGAAAUAAAAAGUGCCCCAUUGAACGAUUAAACAUUUUUAUUAGAACAUCAAAAAAAAAAAAAAAAAAUGAGAACAAA